GAUGAACGCUAGCGACAGGCUUAACACAUGCAAGUCGAGGGGCAGCAUGAGGUAGCAAUACCUUGAUGACGACCGGCGCACGGGUGAGUAACGCGUAUGCAACCUGCCCGAUACCGGGGUAUAGCCCAUGGAAACGUGGAUUAACACCCCAUAGUACUUUUAUCCUGCAUGGGAUGUGAGUUAAAUGUUCAAGGUAUCGGAUGGGCAUGCGUCCUAUUAGUUAGUUGGCGGGGUAACAGCCCACCAAGACGAUGAUAGGUAGGGGUUCUGAGAGGAAGGUCCCCCACAUUGGAACUGAGACACGGUCCAAACUCCUACGGGAGGCAGCAGUGAGGAAUAUUGGUCAAUGGACGUAAGUCUGAACCAGCCAAGUCGCGUGAGGGAAGACUGCCCUAUGGGUUGUAAACCUCUUUUAUAAGGGAAGAAUAAGUUCUACGUGUAGAAUGAUGCCUGUACCUUAUGAAUAAGCAUCGGCUAACUCCGUGCCAGCAGCCGCGGUAA
rnacentral:rRNA from 1 species